rnacentral:tRNA from 1 species
AAAAUCCGUUGGCUUUUCAGACCAUGAGGGUUCAAGUCCCUCUAUCCCCA